AGGGUUUGAUUCUGGCUCAGAUUGAACGCUGGCGGCAGGCCUAACACAUGCAAGUCGAGCGGCAGCGGAAAGUAGCUUGCUACUUUGCCGGCGAGCGGCGGACGGGUGAGUAAUGUCUGGGAAACUGCCUGAUGGAGGGGGAUAACUACUGGAAACGGUAGCUAAUACCGCAUAACGUCGCAAGACCAAAGAGGGGGACCUUCGGGCCUCUUGCCAUCAGAUGUGCCCAGAUGGGAUUAGCUAGUAGGUGGGGUAACGGCUCACCUAGGCGACGAUCCCUAGCUGGUCUGAGAGGAUGACCAGCCACACUGGAACUGAGACACGGUCCAG
rnacentral:rRNA from 1 species